CCCUUAGAGUUUGAUCCUGGCUCAGGACGAACGCUGGCGGCGUGCCUAAUACAUGCAAGUCGAACGAAACUUUCUUACACCGAAUGCUUGCAUUCACCGUAAGAAGUUGAGUGGCGGACGGGUGAGUAACACGUGGGUAACCUGCCUAAAAGAAGGGGAUAACACUUGGAAACAGGUGCUAAUACCGUAUAUCUCUAAGGAUCGCAUGAUUCUUAGAUGAAAGAUGGUUCUGCUAUCGCUUUUAGAUGGACCCGCGGCGUAUUAACUAGUUGGUGGGGUAACGGCCUACCAAGGUGAUGAUACGUAGCCGAACUGAGAGGUUGAUCGGCCACAUUGGGACUGAGACACGGCCCAAACUCCUACGGGAGGCAGCAGUAGGGAAUCUUCCACAAUGGACGCAAGUCUGAUGGAGCAACGCCGCGUGAGUGAAGAAGGUCUUCGGAUCGUAAAACUCUGUUGUUAGAGAAGAACACGAGUGAGAGUAAC
rnacentral:rRNA from 1 species